GAGGAAAGGGGAUGGGAGGGGCGCGCGCAAUGAAAUGAGCGAAUGAUGGCCACAUCCUGCUGAGUCUCGCGUGAGACGCAGGCGCUGUCCGCGGUGCUGGAUGAGAGAGCGGGUCAUUUCGGUCAUAAAAAUGGUUGGAGGAACUUGUGUCGUAAAGCUAUCAUUGGUUUGCAGUGUUUUUGGCUAUUAGGAAGAAUCCAUUUCUGGCUAGACAGGAACAGGAGAGAAGAAAAAACAGAAAAAGAGUCAUUAAAUAUGCAGUGAAGAGCAGCAGCACUUCAGGCGGAGUGAAAAACUCACUGCUGUCAGAGUUUCAGACCUGCCAUUCACCUGCAAACACCAACUCUUUCCUUAUUCUGAGAGACAUAAGCCAGGAUAUACACAAGUAGCCUAUUUGAAGACAGGUCAUUUAGAUAAA